GAUGAACGCUGGCGGCGUGCCUAAUACAUGCCAGUCGAGCGAACAGACGAGGAGCUUGCUCCUCUGACGUUAGCGGCGGACGGGUGAGUAACACGUGGAUAACCUACCUAUAAGACUGGGAUAACUUCGGGAAACCGGAGCUAAUACCGGAUAAUAUAUUGAACCGCAUGGUUCAAUAGUGAAAGACGGUUUUGCUGUCACUUAUAGAUGGAUCCGCGCCGCAUUAGCUAGUUGGUAAGGUAACGGCUUACCAAGGCAACGAUGCGUAGCCGACCUGAGAGGGUGAUCGGCCACAUUGGAACUGGAACAGGGUCCAGACUCCUACGGGAGGCAGCAGAAGGGAAUCUUCCGCAAUGGGCGAAAGCUUGACGGAGCAACGCCGCGUGAGUGAUGAAGGUCUUCGGAUCGUAAAACUCUGUUAUUAGGGAAGAACAAAUGUGUAAGUAACUGUGCACGUCUUGACGGUACCUAAUCAGAAAGCCACGGCUAACUACGUG
rnacentral:rRNA from 1 species